rnacentral:rRNA from 1 species
UAAUACCGGAUAGGAGCGNCNACCGCAUGGUGGGUGUUGGAAAGAUUUAUCGGUUUUGGAUGGACUCGCGGCCUAUCAGCUUGUUGGUGAGGUAAUGGCUCACCAAGGCGACGACGGGUAGCCGGCCUGAGAGGGUGACCGGCCACACUGGGACUGAGACACGGCCCAGACUCCUACGGGAGGCAGCAGUGGGGAAUAUUGCACAAUGGGCGAAAGCCUGAUGCAGCGACGCCGCGUGAGGGAUGACGGCCUUCGGGUUGUAAACCUCUUUCAGUAGGGAAGAAGCGAAAGUGACGGUACCUGCAGAAGAAGCACCGGCUAACUACGUGCCAGCAGCCGCGGUAAUACGUAGGGUGCGAGCGUUAUCCGGAAUUAUUG